CCGUUGGUCCAGCUUGUCGACCGACAGGGAGUCCUUCGAUUCAUUGCUCUGAGCAGAGAUUUGGAAGCAUCGCCAAGCGAGCUGUUGAUCCCCGUGCAUUUUUCUGGCUCCAUUUUUAGUCGAAAACCGAACCAGCAAGUAGUAUGUCGAGAUGAUCGCUCUGAGGGUGUUUAGUCCGGACCUUCCAAGUAUGACAUUGUAGGCCGAAGGUACUUGGACGAUCGUGAAUGUCAUGUGGACGAUACUUUAUCUUGGUUCGGUCCCAGCC
rnacentral:lncRNA from 1 species